GUCCCCUGAAGCAGCGACAGCCACGAAAUCAGGGGGAAUAUUACAGCUUGUACAAUGUAUGUAAAGUCAUACAAACUACCGCCUAGGUGCCAGAUGUUCGUGUUUAUGAAGAUCGCACUAUUGUGAGGUCAGUGUUGGUGCUGUAAAUUCAGAUCCAGCUUCCUCUGACUUCACUUAGAAACUCAGCCCUGUCUGAAGUCUCCACAGCACACUGAUGAAGCCUGCACUGACUGCUGCUCACAGCUUUCCAGCCCAAGGCAGAAGACCUGGGAAUUAUGUCCCCUGGUAUGGUGAGGUGUCAGAAGUUGCAGGGUGAUCUGGGCAUUGACAGGAUUGAACCUGAGUCCACCAACAACUCAUAAACUCAGGAUAUGCACAGGACAUGAGCCUGGCUCUUCAUGUUUGCACACACCCAGAUUUAGAG